rnacentral:rRNA from 1 species
GAUGAACGCUGGCGGCGUGCUUAACACAUGCAAGUCGAGCGGACAGACCAGACGUUUGCUGUACUCAUGUUAGCGGCGGGCGGGUGAGUCACACGUGGAUCACCCACCUAUAUGACUGAGAUAACUUCGAGAAAGCGGAGUUAAUACCGUAGGAUAUUCUGCACCGCAGGGUUUAAAAGUGAAAGUCGGGCUUGCUGGCGGUCCUAGAUGCGUCCGCGGUGCUUGAGCUGGUUGGUAGAGUAACGGCUUACCACGGCAACGAUGGAUAGCCGACCUGAGAGGGGGAUCGGCGACACGGGGACUGAGAGACGGACCAGACUCGAACGGGAGGCAGCGGUGGGAAAUAUUGCACAGUGGGCGCGAGCGAGAUGCGGCGACGCUGCGAGCGGGAAAACGGCCUUCGGGGGGAAAACAUCUGUCUAAGUCAACGAAGCGAAAGUGACGGUAGCUGAUCAGAAAGCCCCGGCUAACUACGUG